AGUGAACGCUGGCGGUAGGCCUAACACAUGCAAGUCGAACGGCAGCACAGUAAGAGCUUGCUCUUACGGGUGGCGAGUGGCGGACGGGUGAGGAAUACAUCGGAAUCUACUUUUUCGUGGGGGAUAACGUAGGGAAACUUACGCUAAUACCGCAUACGACCUACGGGUGAAAGCAGGGGAUAUUCGGACCUUGCGCGAUUGAAUGAGCCGAUGUCGGAUUAGCUAGUUGGCGGGGUAAAGGCCCACCAAGGCGACGAUCCGUAGCUGGUCUGAGAGGAUGAUCAGCCACACUGGAACUGAGACACGGUCCAGACUCCUACGGGAGGCAGCAGUGGGGAAUAUUGGACAAAGGGCGCAAGCCUGAUCCAGCCAUACCGCGUGGGUGAAGAAGGCCUUCGGGUUGUAAAGCCCUUUUGUUGGGGAAGAAAAGCAGCGUGUUAAUACCCCGCUGUUCUGACGGUACCCAAUGAAUAAGCACCGGCUAACUUCGUG
rnacentral:rRNA from 1 species